CGAUCCACGUGGUUAAUGAGGUACACCAGGUGGUUCAUUAUUGAACAGCGCAACUAAAAGAUUAGUACUACCUGAUACCCCUAUCAAUGUUGCAAUUUCAUUCUUCUCUGGAUUUGUUACUUUGUCUGCCAUUUUGGAUUACCACUUUUAAAUAUGGGUGUAAUUCUCUAAUUACAGUUCUCAGAUUAAACCUACAAAGAUUUCAAUUCUCAAACCAGUUCGAAACGAGGGUUUUAUAGUUAAAGAAGAAAAUGCUUUUGGUUCAUUGGUUGAAAUCAGAAGUGGGUAGUGGGUUUGCAGAAUAUGCAGCUUUGUUCCAGCUAUUUAUGACGCAGUAGUUGUUGUACCCAAAAUCAUCCCUCUCUGACAUUGGUGAUGCUUGGAGAUUUGAGUGGGGGUUCUUGAAGUGUAGAUUGUUUCGAGAAAUUCUGGCAGAUUGGAGGAGGCACCUAUGGGUAAGUCUAAUUUUUGUUGUUAAUUAUGUUAUGAAAUUUGUAUAGCUUAUAUUAUAUGCUGAUAAGGUGUUUGAAUAAAUGCCAUAGGUUAAGAUUUAAUAACUUUACUGAAUCCAUUAAAUCCCAUUGAUUUUAUGUACUCAAAAAACUUUUAUAAUAGUAUUGGUUUUGGUUGAGAGUUUAGGCUAGCAUAUAUCAAAAUUACCUUGAAAUUUCACACCUUUAUGGAUUUUGGGCAAUUGCGUCGUCGAUAACCUAACUAAAACUACUCUCCAAUCCCAUGCCUUAACGACUCCAGUCACUAGGAUCAAAGGCUCAAAAACAGAAGAAAAAAAUCACUUUUGAGAAACCUAGGAGUGAAUGAAUUUAUUCUCAGUUUUCAAAAAAGGUAAACUCUGCUCUGUUUUCACUCAAGCAAAGCCAUUCUUUCCUAUAUGCUUUGGUGUUAAUGAUCUUUCAUCUUCAGCCUAGAACAGUUAUAGCUCCACAGCUUCCACUCUCACUCCUCUUAACUCAUCUGCAAUGCCUUCUGCCUUUGAGAAUUCUCAGGUCGUGGUUGAUCCAAGUAAUACAUUAACGGGUUAACAUUUCUCAUUUAAAAUGACUUCUGUUUCGAAGCUGUGACCAUCUUCAAGAAUUCACUUGACGUCUCCGUCUUCUUCAAAUCUGUGAGUUCUGCAUGUAACUGAAAUUCUUCUUCAAAGUAGAUAGUGAUAAGAAUUUUUUACAAGUUCUUCUUGAUGAACCUACAAAAAAGAUGGCCUUGGAGAUAUCAGAACUGAGAGGUUGCUUUUGUCAACUGGGUUAGCGUGUCUGAACAUAAAACGAAUGAGAAUUACUGGGGACAAUGGAAUAUAUUCCAGUUCCCAGUUAUGCAAGGCGUGGAGUAGAUGAAUAAUGUGAUGCAUAGAGAAGAUGAGCAAUAAUGAUCCUGAAGGUUCGUACUGCCUAAAAGGUUCCCAUUUAUUUCCCACGUAGUUUAACAUUCCUGUUCUUUGCUUAAGACAAAAGUAAAAUUGAUUAAAUAGGUUUACUCAUAAACUUCACCAUUUCUAAUAAAGAUACAUGUUCUUAGAUAUAGGACUUCGCAGUUGCUGAGUUUUUCAGAAUUCAGAUUCCAUGCUGACUGCUGAGCUGUUAAUAUGGUUUCCUGGGUUGUUUGAAAAGAGGAUUUUUGGGUAUUUAAAUACAUGUCCUUAGAUAAAAGACUCUGUAGUUGCUGAGUUUUUCAGAACUCAGUUUCCACGCUGAGCUGUUAAUAAGGUUUCUCGGGAUGAACACUUAAUUUGGCUGUAGUUCACAUCAAGCUAUUUAAGUUUGAGCAAUGCUCAUUCACUGUCGAUCAUUUACUUAGGUUGACGAAGUGCCAAAUCUUCAUUAUUUGCUUUAGCUUCUUUUACUUUACUAAGCUUACCAUAUCCUAUCCUUCCAUGAAAAUUAUGGGAAGUAUAAUAAAUCCCUGGACACCUCUAUUAUGAUAUUGAAGUAUAGGUGUCUUCAUUUAAAAAUGACUAUGAAAUUGUGUCGUUUGGUACACUUUUAUUUCCAUAUUUCAAAUUGCUUUACUUUCCUUGGGUUCACUUGCUUUUAAAGAGGGAGUUAGUAGCUAAGAAUACACUAACUGGACGAUUGAUAUGCAUGUCUGCCCUAAAACCUUCUUAUUGAAAUAAUAUUUUCGUAAAUGCUACAUAGGAAAUGAAACUGUUGCAAGAAUUUUGUUCUACUGAGACCCUAGUGUACUGAGGCUUAAGUGUGUGCAUGCUCUUCCUUAUUGAGUUUUUGUUUUGUAUUGAAGAAAUAAUUUCUUUCUUUUUAGAUGAGCCAUAAGAAAUCUACCAUAGGCAUCGUAAAGCUUCCCAAGUCAGUUGUAGCAUUCUUUUUUGGAAGAUUGGAAUAACAUUUGGGUUACUGACCAUCUUCACAAAUAUAUAAUUCGUUUUAGUUUAGUUUUUUCUUCAAAGGAUUCUGUUGUAAGAUUCUCAAUAUCUAUUUUCGCAUAACAAUAGUAAACAAGCAAUCGUGUUAUACUGAUAUUUGCAAACACGAUCUGAUACAGGACCUGUAUACCCUAGCUUUUAAGUUGAUUAAAAAAUGACUUCUGUUUCGAAGCUGUGAAUUUCUGAACUUACUUGGUUUGAAGCUAUCUUCCAUUUAUUUUGUAUCUUAUGUUUCAGGGAUUUCAGAGAUUAACCAUAGGAUUUAACCAAAUAAUUUGUAAGUCGAUAACAUUCAGGUACAUUGUAGGCAAAGAAGAAGCUACCAAUUAAGGUUUGGUAUGACUACUAGAAGUAACUGUAAGUCAAUAACAUAUGGGUACAUUGCAGGCAAAGCAGAGUAGCUGUCAAUUAACUUCAAUUGUGUCUGGCCAGAUAGAAAAUUUGCAGCAUGUUCGGGAAAUAUGAUAGUGUUCAAGUAGAUAUUUAAAGUUCAUGAACAAAUACAAGGUGUGAUUGAAGAUUCAUAUAGCACUUUGAACUUUCUACAUACAUCUAGCUUAAAUUAUGAAGUCAAAAAGACAAAUACAUACCCAGCCAGAAGCUGAUUCAGAAGCCAUGAGUGGAGCAUAGUAGCUUGGUGAACGCCAGUUACGCUUUGAAGGGACAACAUCUAAUAAUGGACCAACAGAGAUGUAUCUAUACUUCACAGCUGAAUUACCGAGAUGGUUCUCAAUAUAGAAGUUUAAUUGCGAUCGCUGCUCUAAAAAGCAAUUGAUUGUCAGGGGCACUGUUAGAUAAAUGAACUUGGAUAUGUAGGGUGAGUAUUUUUUCUUAUAGAAGGAUUGAAACUUUCAUGUAAUUGUAAAAGUUUUUAUCGAACCUGAUUAUGGUCAAGAUGAUAAUGUUAUAAAACUUGGAUGGCAAUGUAAGGAAAUAUCAUCUUUUACCAGA